rnacentral:rRNA from 1 species
CCUACGGGAGGCAGCAGUGGGGAAUAUUGGGCAAUGGGCGCAAGCCUGACCCAGCAACGCCGCGUGAAGGAAGAAGGCUUUCGGGUUGGAAACUUCUUUUGACAGGGAAGAGUAGAAGACGGUACCUGACGAAUAAGACAUGGGUAACUACGAGCCAGCAGCCGAGGGAAUACGUAGGGGGCAAGUGUUGUGCGGAUUUAAUGGGUGGAAAGGGUGUGUAGUCGGGUUGACAAGUAAGAUGUGAAAUACUGGGGCUUAACCGCAGAAUGGCAUUUGAAACUGUUGGUCUUGAGUACUGGUGAGGCAGGCGGAAUUCCUGGUGUAGCGGUGAAAUGCGUAGAGAUUAGGAGGAACACCAGUGGAGAAGGCAGUCUGCUAGACAGCAACUGACGGUGAGGCGCGAAAGCGUGGGGAGCAAACAGGAUUAGAUACCCCGGUAGUC